UUCGUAUUUAUUCAAAAUAAAUAUUGCAAAAAUAAUACGAAAAGGUUAAAGAAAUGUGGAUGACGUCGAGGACAGAGCGUCGCUACCAGACGCUGUUCUUUCCGGAGCAAACAGCUCACCGCAACCAUGGGUAAGCCUCGUGGAAUCCGUACUGCCCGGCAAGCACGUGAACCACCGCCGUGAACAAAGAUGGCACGAUAAGGACUACAAGAAAGCCUUUGGGAACUCGCUGGAAGGCCAAUCCCUUUGGUGGUGCCUCCACGCUAAGGGCAUUGUCCUUGAGAAGAUUGGUAUUGAGGCCAAAACAGCCUAACUCUGCCAUUCGUAAGUGCGUUCGAGUCCAGCUUAUCAAGAAUGGCAAGAAGAUCUCUGCUUUUGUCCCCGGGAUGGUUGCUUGAACUUUAUUGAAGAGAACGAUGAAGUGUUAGUGUCAGGAUUUGGUCGUAAGGGCCAUGCCGUCGGUGAUAUUCCCGGUAUCCGUUUCAAGUAGUGAAGGUCGCCAACGUUUCCCUGCUUGCUCUGUACAAGGAGAAAAAGGAGAGGCCUCGUUCUUAAAUUAGCCGUUCUCAAAUUAAGGAAAAAAAUCUAAA